CAUAACAUGUAAAAAAUAGUGCUCGAAUAGUGCUGUCGAUUGCAAUUGGUCCCAUGAAUAGUGCUGUUCGGAGACGCUAGCACUAUUCGUCGAAAGUUGAAAAAUCGAUUUUUGGGUACUUUUGUAUGGGAGGUAUGUGAAAUAUUGACUUUUUCUAUACAAAUGAUACGUCAAAAAAUAGUGCUGGAAUAGUGCUGGCGAAUGGCGUUUUCAGAUUUCAAAAAUGUUGCCUGGAGGCCGAGCACUAUUCGUAGAAAGGAAACCAAGAAGAAUGGACACGAAAGACAGUAUAAUCGUCAUCUCCAUCAAUGCUACUCAAACUAACUCCGUUCAAAAAAUGUGUCAAAGUCCGUAAUACCGUAUAUGUGCGUGUAUACGUGUGUCGGUAUUGCCCAAUGUUGCAUACGGUAACACAGAGAUUGCUGCAUUUACGCUAGUGUAUUACAAAUACACCUACGUUAUAAUGUGUAAUACGUUAGUCGCUACAUUCAACUCACGCACACAUAAAAGUUGGUGACUUCUGAGAAAGAACUUGUCGGAAACUUUGCCCUAAGAUUGCGUUCCUAACUUUUUUCAAUGUAUUUCUUAUGGUUAUGGUUAUUUGGGGUGCGUUCAUCUACCGAUUGUACUGAUUUGACAUUUAAGGCAUAAAUUUGAUCGAAUUUCCAACAAGUUUUUUGAUUUUAUUUUAUUUUAUUAGAUUUCUAUUUGAUUUAUCUGAAAAAGCAGGUUUCCCUUUUUUUAAAGCUCAUUCACAUAAAUAUUUUUAUCAACCUACCAAAUAACUAACAAAACAUCACAAAUAACUAAAAUCAUGAAUCGACUUGAAAAAAAUUACAAUUGAUAGUUUUCUCUAGAAAAUCAGUUUUCUCCAAUUUUCCUCAAAAUUCUGUUCGCACCAGGAUUCAGUGACGAGCAGAAAUUCGAGUAUACAUACAGUAUUGGUGCGUGAAACAGAAAGUCAUGACUUUCUGACACACUCACGCAAUCAAUGAGUCAUACAAUGAACGUUCAGAAACCUUGUGUAGUUUGUUUUUGGAAAAUAGCUUAAGUUCUUUAAACGAUUAAGAUUUCCGAACGUUCAAUGUAUCAAUUCUGGUUCAUUGACUCGACUGACUCAUCAUGCCUUCAAAAUGGAGUCAGAAUCUAACUCGUUUCUUAUGACUCAUGAAGAGUGAGUCACAUCAAGUUUGAAUCACUUUGGACAAAUGAAUGACUCUGAUUAUGACUCAUAUUGUGACUCCCUUCAUGACUCAAUUGUACUAUACUGUUCCACUUUUCCGAACAGGAGUCAUAGAGCCAGUAAUCAUACGAAAAAAUCGAUUUCGGACACUUGCCAUGGAAAUGUACCGAAAAAUCGACGAAUAGUGCUCGGCCCCCAGGCAACAUUUUUGAAAUCUGAAAACGCCAUUUGCCAGCACUAUUCCAGCACUAUUUUUUGACGUAUCAUUUGUGUAGAAAAAAUUAAAAUUUCACAUACCUCCCAUACAAAAGUACUGAAAAAUCGACUUUUUCCCACUUUCUACGAAUAGUGCUCGGCCUCCAGGCAACAUUUUUGAAAUCUGAAAACGCCAUUCGCUAGCACUAUUCCAGCACUAUUUUUUGACGUAUCAUUUGUAUAGAAAAAAUCAAUAUUUCACAUACCUCCCAUACAAAAGUACUGAAAAAUCGACUUUUUCCCACUUUCUACGAAUAGUGCUCGGCCCCCAGGCAACAUUUUUGAAAUCUGAAAACGCCAUUCGCCAGCACUAUUCCAGCACUAUUUUUUGACGUAUCAUUUGUAUAGAAAAAAUUAAUAUUUCACAUACCUCCCAUACAAAAGUACUGAAAAAUCGAUUUUUCAACUUCCGACGAAUAGUGCUAGCGUCUCCGAACAGCACUAUUCAUGGGACCAAUUGCAAUCGACAGCACUAUUCGAGCACUAUUUUUUACAUGUUAUGGUUUACCAGCACUAUUUCCGGGCGGUGCUGAUGACAUGUACCUAAUUAUUUGCCGUAUGUUCGAGUACAAGGCGCGCGUGACUUGAUGACUAUUAUAUUAUUUUGCUGGUGCGUGUUUUUCUUCUUCUCUUCAUUCUCUUUAUCCGUGUAGCUCAUUUGUUCUCUCUCAUUUUCAUCAAAUAUGUUUGCCGCAUUUUUUAUACACACAUAUCCACAUUUGCACGCACGCAAACAUGUACCAAAUCUAAAAAUCUGUUUACCGUGGUUUGUCUAUCUUUUUGUUUCGUUUUGUACCAAAACGUUGUUCAUUCAUUGCUUUUAACGGGUCAAAGUCGAAAUGAAAACGCAACAACUCUUAUUCGCACAGUACCUUUCAAAUUAACACCAAUCGAAUUUUGAAAUAGACAUUUUUCUCCAGUGAAUUGGCGAUAUAUCAAUGGCUGGAGCAAAAAAUUCGAUACAUUUCAAAUGAUGACACCAACUGUAUAAAUAAAACAACAGCUGAAUUCUGUUUUAAGCAUCGUUUAUUUUCGGUUUUGUUUUGUUUUGGUCCAUUUGGGUUUUUUUCCAAUAAAGCGAAAGAGAGAGAGAGAGAGAGAGAGAGAGAGAGAGAGAGAGAGAGAGAGAGUGGUACUGUUCGCUGUCCGACUUGAUGAAGUAGGUCCAUUGCAAAUGAACAGCUAAUUUAUGCAAACAAACGGAAACAGACCGCAAUCGAUGAAUCGAAGGACAAGACAUGAAGCAAUGUGGUACAAAUUCAUGUUUUCAAAACUCGAUUCGUGCAUGCUCAAUCGAACAAAAGAAUUCGCUGGAAAAGAAUAGAAUUUCUAUUUUAGAACCGAGAUAAAAAAAAAAGUAAGCUGUUUGGUUGAUAUUAUGACCUUAACGUUUCAUUCAAGCACCUGAUAAAUGUCGCAGAUCUUUCAAAUACAAUUCCAAUUGAUGUCGAAGAUCUUGUCUUUAACACGUUGAUUAAUUUUAGAAACGUUCAAAUCGCAAAGUAAAUGGAAAUGACGUAAAUGGUCGUCGGUUUUUUUUCUUUGUAUGUUGUGAAUGGCGGCAAAUUUAAUGAAUACUGUUUAUUCAGUCAUUCCAAACAAAAAACCGCAUCCAAAGUCUCAUCUCCGCAUGAAACAGGUAAUGAAAAGCCGCCUGGUAAACAAGGAAAAAACCCGAACAAGUAAAUAAGCUUGAGUGACUUCUUCGUCUCUUUGCCAAAAAAAAACAAACAUAUAAUGUCUUGUUGCUCUCCGUCGCAACAGCUUUUUUUCGGAGGUUUUUUGUUGUAGAUUUUCUCUUCACUUGUUGUUUGGAUCGUGGUCUGGGGCUCACAGAGAUUCAUUUGCGCUUUGUUUGCUUUGUCACGCGCCUCACACACACACACACACACACACACACACACACACACACACAAAAGCUGUAACAAAGCAAAAUAAAGCGUCGAAUGGCAUUUAUGAUGGUCUGAGAGAUGAUUUGGAGAUAUCUCCAGGUGAUUCUGAUGAAAUUAUACAAGCGCGAAACAACAUCGAAAAUGAAAGAAAACAAAAUUGUUAACUAAACACAAAACUGGCCGAAAAAAAACUCGCAUAAAAUGAUGGAAUAAAAUACAAAUGUGACGGGUUAUAAUUGCUAAUGCUAAUUAAUAAUAAUUAUUCCGGUUGCGUUUGCUAUUUUCGAAAACUAAGUUUCAUUUACCCAUAUCUUACUCUGGAUUUGGUUUUCGGGUGAAACGAUGUGUAUGCGGACAUGAUAAUAGAAGUACAGAGAGCAACAGAGCACAGCGACAGAAGAAAAAAAAAUCAAUCGCGAUAACUUCGAAUAUCGCAAACAGCGUGUGCGCGUGAGAGUAGGACGCUUGGCAGAGGCUAAAGUAAAUAGCAUGACCACAAGAUCACAAUUCGACUUUGGGUCAUACACAAUCGGGUUGGAUUGUUUGUCAUUUACGCCUCGAUGAAGCUAAUAAUAAUGCCUGUGCGAUUAUUAUUAUUCGCUCAACAAAACCGCCAUACUCACAUUUCGCCUAUCGGUUUUUUUUGUGCAAUUCAUUGCCGAUCCAUUCAGUGAUAAGAGAUUUCGAUCAAAUAAUGAUGAAAAAAACAGCAGCAGCAAUCAUCUCUUACACACAGCGCUUGAUUGAAUCCACAUUAUAUCUGGAUAGUCAGAAGAGCAAUUUUCGAAACAAUAACAACAUUAGCACAGCGAAUGAACCCGGUAACAAUGUGCAUUGCAUGUGUUUAUUUUGGGCAAUGUGAUUGGAUAAUCAACAUUUUUGUUCCACUAUCAAAGGGCGAAUCAUCAUCGCAAUACGCGGAUUUUACUACAUUUUUUUGUUGAAUGUCAUCAAUGUCAUGUGGUUCUGUGUGUGUUUGAGAGAGAGAGAGAGAGAGAGAGAGAGAGAGAGAGAGAGAGAGAGAGAGAGAGAGAGAGAGAGAGAAAGAGAAAGAGCAACCUAUGCAUGCUUGCACGACACACAACAGGAACAUACACAACAAAAGAAAAAUGGAUAAUUUUCACAUUUAGCGGUAAUUUGAACAGGAUAAUUGACUUUCUGGACCAUUACCAGUCUGGGAACAAGUGUUUAUUUUUGUAUAUUUUUUCGUCAUAUUUCUUUGAUUUUUCAUCAAUUUUGAUGGAUGACAUCCAUCAGCCGGAUAAUAUGUGUGUGUCUGUUAUUUUUGAUUUGAGAAUGCAAGCCGUGGAAGUACUGAUUAAUUUCACUUUUUGGGGACUUUUCGAGUCUUGCACAUUUCUCGUCGCUUGCAGCUGUUUUUUGUGUGUUUCUAAAAAAAAACAAUUAUUAUUGAUGCGCAAUAUUCGAGAUACAUUUCAACUCGAAUAAAUUUUUGAUUCAUUAUAACCGUUAUUCAUUGGAGUUGAGUCAUUCGAUGUGCCGCAUAAAAAUUUGCCACUUCAUCUUCCUAAUUGAAAAAAAAGCAGCAACGGCAAUAAUCGAAAGAAAUCAACAGAAAUAUGGAAAAAAGAAAAUUGUAAUGUAAACGAUCGUAAAAAGGAAAGAAAAUGAUGCAAUUGAUUGUUUGGUUUGAAUGUGUGUAAACGUGUUUCUUUUAUGAAUUGGUUAUAAAACAUAGAAAUGGCUGAUAAAUGAAAUAUUUUAUUCAAUUCACAUCGCUUUGUGAUUGCGAAUGAUUGCCUGCAUACACACAUUUAAUCAACAAGUUACCGCACAUGUUGCACACACUAGCUUCGAGCCGAACAAAUCAAACGAAAUGAAUGAACGAAGCGAACGAAUGGGCAACAACAACAACGAAAAAAAUCAUAUGGAAAAGAGAAUAUGAGUGAAGAAGAAAAAAACAGCAUACGGUUCGUAUUGAAUGAUGUGCGUUCACACUCAUGUAUGCGCAGCAGCGGCAGCGUGCGCAAAUAAAACGGGAAAAAACACAUAAAUCGGCUUUUGCCAUAGUAAAAACAUAUUUGGUUGUUUUUUUUUUCUUCAUUAGAUCGAUGUGAACACGAGAGAAGAGUUCAAUAUAUUUUUAUGUAAUUUUUUCAAAUUGAGCGUUGUUUUGUAAUUCGAUUUUCCUAUACAUAUAUAUAAUUCUUUUUCUUUCUUCACUUUGUUUCAUUUUUCGACUAUCUUUUGGACGAAUGAAAAAAGUAUGUUUCGCGCUGUUUUUUUUCUUCUCUUUUCAUCUUUCUUAACAAUUUCUUUCAUUGAAUAAUCGUACAUUCGACGCUUGUGUUCAUACUUGUAAUGUAGUUUGGUUUUUUUUUGUUGCUUCGGCUGUCUGUCUAUGUCCGUGUCUAUUGCAUCGUGUUCACUUUUUUUUCUUUCAACUAUUUCAUUUCACACCUUGGUUGCUAUGAAAUCGAGAACCGUUCAAUGUUUUCACUUGAAAAUAAAAUUAUUGGGCCCAAUGUGUACAGACUCCAAAAUAGCCAACAUGCAUAUGUGUGUGUUCUUUUUUUCGUGCAUUUCAAUUCAUUCUGUUUUUUCCUUCUCGCAUUACGCAUUAAUCAUAGUUAUGGAUAAAUUGUGUGAUCAGAUUGAAAUGCCUUUAAGUCAAAUUGGAAAUUGAAAUCGAUAUUAUCGAUCAUUUUAUUCCACUUUGCCAUUCAUUUAUAUUUUUUUCGUUCAUAACCUGUCAAAUACAUUAUGAAUAAUCUAUUUUGGGUUUAAUUUCAAAUUGUCUUUGAAUUUCAAUCAAUUGAAGAGAAAUGGGCAGAUCUCAUCAGAAGAUCACAAUCAUGUAUCGAGUUUCUAUUUGACAAACCCAAAAUGACAUCACGACGAUGCAAUGAAAGUACGAAUACAAUUGACAUUUAUGAUCGAAAAUGCUUUUCCCAUUUGAUUUACAUUGUUUUGGGUUGUAAACGGUGUCCAUGCCCACCAUAUAUGUGAAUUACUUGAUGAUGCCCGCGUAAAAUGUUAUUUAUAGAAAUGUGCAUUUCAUUUCUACAUACGGUUGCCACUUCCAAAUGAAUGAGCGGAGUACACCACUUUCAUGACACACAGGCAUUUAAAGUGCGUUUGACGUGGUUGAUGAUUUUUUUAAAGUGAAAUCAGUGUAAAAGGUGAACGACACUCUGAAUCAGUGCACUUUGCUGGACAAGAGGUGGCUGUGAAUGCACACACUCGAAAAUAAAAAACAAACGAAAAAAAAUGAAAGAAAAAUUGGAAUUUAUGACAUGCAAAACUAUAAACGAUGACGCCAUAUCCAGCAAAACAUGCAAUAAUAUCGCACACACAAAACACAACGGUCAAGCCAUAAAUAACGCAUGUCGAGCACGGCAACAAAAAAAAAAUAGUUACUUAUUUUAUGAGUCGAACGUGUUUGCAUGUGCUAGCAUUUGUACAGUUUUUUUUCUCUCUUCUCUCUUCUGUUCAGAUGUUGGUUUUUUUUGUGAGUGGCCGCAAAUCUAGUCGAACCAAACGCACAGAGAGGAGAAGCAACAACGACGACAAAAAAAAACCAACCUACCAUGUUGAAAUGUUAAAAGAUCAUCAAUUCAAAAAUGAUGUCUAAUCGCUUUUUUUCCUAUGAAAUUUUCCAUUGCGAUACAGUGUUCGCAACAAUUCCAAGCAAAAGCAUUGAUCCAUCCGUAUAAUCACAUCGCCACAACAAAUGUCCAAAUUCAUACACCAUAAACCGACCAACACACACACAUACACUCAGAUGGUGGAAUAUCCAACCGCAAGCGCUGCACAACGAUUUCAAAUGCACGUGAUUUCUAAUCCGCCGACACAUCCACAUAUAAAGUUCACAGCCAUAACCGGCUGCUAUCAAAUCGAUGUAUGCUAAUUUUGGUUCAGUUAAGAUUGUUUUAUUUCUUCUUCUUCUUACUGCUGCUAAACGGUUUUUUUUCCUCUUCUUUGAUCUCAAAGAGAGAAGAUCAGAGGAGAAAAAAAGGUUUCGAUGCUCUGUUAUUGAAGCAAUUAUAAUUAGUUGAUGAUGGUGAUUAAUAGCAUAAAAUCCGAUCGACCUCAUUCCAAGCUGGAAUUUCCAGCCACCAAAUGAAAACAAGGAAAUGGAAACGAUAAUAAAGAUUUCAGCAAUUAAUUCUUUUUCCACGUCACUUUUUCGGGCGUUUUUUAUUGCGAGAUUGGUUUGAUUAUUUUUUUCUUUUAAUCGACACCAAAAUACUACGUUUUGAUGAUAAAAUCGUAGCAAUUUACGCUUCACACAAUAACAUUUGAUUAAAUAUUUGGAAGUUUUUAUGUCGACAAAUCUAAAUGAGUGAAUACUGUUUUUUUUUCUCGUUGGUUGUUCAAGUGGCUCAUUAAAAAAUUGCUGUGACUGUAGCGCGCUCACAUUUAACCAUAACUAAUUUAUGCACGUUCUAUUUCGUUGAAUCAAAACCAUGUGUGUGAGUGUGUUUUUUUUAUUUCCUCGGGCUGAUUGGAUCCUGCAUCAAGGUUGCGCUAUUUUUAUUUGGCAUUGUUCUAUUUUCGUUAUAUCAGGAGAUAAAGUCGCACGGAAUUUGUCGAAAUGGAACUCAAGCUGCUUGAUUCAAGCAAGUCUGAAAAAAUGGAUUACUACGCCAAUACAACCUUCACGGAAGUACGGUUCACACUUCAUUCUAAAACGAAGAAAAUAUGUUCGUCUUGACUUGCGUGGAAUUUCAAAAAUCAACGAGCGAAGAGUUGCAUGCAAUUAAAAAGAUCGCACUUUCGUUUAGCCGCCUCUUCAUAAAUCGAGUAUGAAGUGAAUCCAGUAUGGAGUGAAUUAUGCGUGAUUAAAUCAAAUGAAAUGAAAACGAUGGAGACACAACUGUGGCUCGGCUUCGAUCCAAUGACGCAUUCGAAAAUGUCGAAAAAAUAAAAUCGAAACAAUCGAAAAAAACAUGUGUGAAAUGAAUGGAGCAAAAUAUCAAAUUGAAGCAACAUGAAAUGAUCGUGUUGCAAAAACCAUGAUGAUUUGGAAAAUGAGAGAGAAACAAAACAAAAAAAUAAUACAGAAAAAAAAAGUUGUAAUCUAUAGUCGGUUUUACAGCCAGUCAUUCACGCAUUUCCGUAUAAUUGAUUGAAAUCAUACCAUAAAUAGAAACUUGAUCUUUUGUGCAAAUGGCAUUUUUGGCUCUUCGCUUCGAAGUGAGUCGCAUUUAAAACCGAACCGCGCCUCACACACAGUUUAGUGAACUUGGUCUUUGUGCAAUUUUCGGUACAACGGCACAACCUCUCUCUUGAGAUGAUGGCAAUGGAAGAGAUGAGGCUGGCACAUCUUUAAGCAACGAUGCACGAAAUAAAUAAAGCAACAGCAACGAACGAUCAUACUCAAUCAAAUUGAAUAAUCAAACUGAAAGUAAAUCUCGUGCGCGAGAUCAAGACACAAAAGAACAACACACUCUCUCUGGGCCGCGUAUUGAAACCGGAGGGACAGAGAGAUUGAAAGAAAUGUGAUGCAUCUUCAGUUGAUCCAAAGAAAUGUCCAUCGGCGCAUUUAUCAUCUUUAUUUUCAGUGAGUUUUUUUUUCUGUCUGGCUGGCUGUUAUUGUUUUGUUUUCAUGUUUUCUCUCGCUCUCUCGCUCGCUCGGUUUAUUCAUUGCGAAAGUGCACGGUAAUUUAAGUGUAUAUUGAACACCGUGUAUUUACAAAGUAUCGCUUUUCGUCGUUCAUCGUUCGACUAGUGCGACCACAAAAGAAAGAAAUUGCGCAGAAAGAAACAAAAACUUCAAAGUUCAAAAUCGAAAAGCAUACAAAAUUACCUUUGUUCGUUGGGUCGAGUCGAAAUUAAAGUGAAAGUGACGCCGAAUGCUUUCUUCAUGUGCGCGCAGCUAUGCCAAUGCCAUGCAAGCGGAUGACGGUGUGUGCGCGUUCGCGCAUAUAUAUAUAUUCGUCGCCGAAAUGUAUAAAAAUAUGGAGAAAAAAAGAUAGACACACACGAAAACAAAAGAGAAGCGGCCAAAAAAAACAACAGAAAGAAAAAAAGAAA